AUGCAGGGAGUGCUCCGUAAAUGCAGCAGCUGCCACAGUUCCUGUCUCCUGCGUCUCCUUACCCCCAGGCCUGAGAUCUGUCCCCACCGCAGGGCCUCUGUCCUACAUCCUUGUUCCUCAGCCUGCAGGCAGUGCCUCCCUCUUCUGACCUGGAGGAAAAGAGCGAGCCUGGGUUAUCCUGGAGCCUGGAGGACUGAGUCAAAUAAACUGAUUAAGAAGGCCCUGGAAUCCUGCAGCAGCCACUCGCGCCCGCCGAGGAGAGCUCCCCAACGCCACUGGCCCCGGUCAGCUCCAGGCUUCUCUCUGACGACAUUGUUCCCAGUGCCAGAGAAGGAGGAGGAGGAUGUGGGCACCCUGCUCGACUUCUAGGAACGCAGGUAGCCGGGACAGGGCAUGGUGGUAUCUGGGAGGUAAGCAGACCUGGGGGUGCUGCAGCUCAUCCUUUGCCUAACUCUAGGAGACCGCCCUCUGCGGCCUGCCUCGACCUGUGUUCAAGAGGAACCACGGGGGAAUCGGACUUGGCCCAGUGGUUAGGGCGUCCAUCUACCACAUGGGAGGUCCGCAGUUCAAACCCCAGGCCUCCUUGACCCGUGUGCAGCUGGCCCAUGCGCAGUGCUGAUGCACGCAAGGAGUCCCCGCGUAGGGGAGCCUCAGGCGCAAGGAGUGCGCCCCAAAAGGAGAGCCGCCCACACUUCCCGUGCUGCUGACGACAACAGAAGCGGACAAAGAAACAAGACGCAGCAGAUAGACACAGAGAACAGACAACCGGGGGAGGGAGGGGGAAUUAAAUAAAUAAAUAAAUCUUUAAAAAAAAAAAAGAGGAACCAUGAUGGCUAACGUUUUCUGAGUACUUACCAUGUGCCUGGCAUUGUUCUGUGCACUUAACGGGUCUUAAUUCAUUUAAUUCAUAGUUAAACCUUUCAAACACCUUGGGUAAGGCUUACCACCCCCACUUGAUAGACAAGUAAGACUGACUCAAAGUUCCAACAUUAAGUAACUGGGAGAGCUGGUCUAAAACUAGGUGUGACUGCAAUCCUGGCUUCACUUUGCUAUCCCCAAGGUAGCUCCUCUAAGAAGUAUACAUUAAUAUGGUGAUACAUGGGAAAUUACAACUAACGUAACUUAUGGUUGCUAGUUAACAGUAAUAUUGUAAUAUUUUUGCAGUAAUGGCAAAGAAGGUAUUAUGUUAAUUCUAAGAGACAACAAUAGGGAUAUACGGGGGCGGGAUUUUUCCUUUUGGAGUAAUGAAAAUGUUUUAAAAUUGACUUAGGUGAUGACAGCACAACUCUGUGAUGAACAUGAGAGUUACUGAGUGUACACACUGAAAGGAUUGUACAAACUAUGGGGCUGUAUAACACAGGAAAUCCAGUGGGGGAAGAUGGACUGUGGUUAACAGAACAGAGACGAGAAUGUUCUCUCAUGAACUAUUAAUAUAACAAAUGCACAGUUCUAAUACAGGGUGUUAAUAAUUGACUUGGGGGGGGGAAAUGUACCAAAUGUUAAGAUAUGGGCUACAGUUAGUAAUAAUAUUUUGAUGAUGUUCUGUCAUAGUUUGUAAUAAAUGUUUCACAACAAUGCAAGGUGUUGGUGAUGGGGUGAUGUAUGGGAGGCCUGUAUGAUGAUCAUGCUUGUUUUGUAAAUCCACAACUUUUACUAUAUAUUUACUGUUUAUGUAUGGUCUUGUUUGAAUGAUCUAUUUUAAUAAAAUUUUAUUUUAAAAGGUAUACAGUAGACAAUAAAUGCUUGAUGAAGAUGUUUGAUUACUGCCAUGUAAUGGAAAGUUCCCUUUCCUAGUCCAUUCCUACUCCAUUUCUCUGAAUGUCCUUAAGAGAGUCUUUUUUCUUCUUUAGCCUCAGUUUCCCCUGAAAGACAAAUGAUAAAUGAUGGCCUGUAGAGUUAGAUAC
ensembl:lincRNA